GGAGGAAAAGAAACUAACAAGGAUUCCCCUAGUAACUGCGAGUGAAGCGGGAAAAGCUCAAAUUUAAAAUCUGGCAGUCUCCGGCUGUCCGAGUUGUAAUCUAGAGAAGUGUUAUCCGCGUUGGACCGUGUACAAGUCUCCUGGAAUGGAGCGUCAUAGAGGGUGAGAAUCCCGUCUUUGACACGGACUGCCAGGGCUUUUGUGAUGCGCUCUCAAAGAGUCGAGUUGUUUGGGAAUGCAGCUCAAAAUGGGUGGUAAAUUCCAUCUAAAGCUAAAUAUUGGCGAGAGACCGAUAGCGAACAAGUACCGUGAGGGAAAGAUGAAAAGAACUUUGGAAAGAGAGUUAAACAGUACGUGAAAUUGCUGAAAGGGAAACGCUUGAAGUCAGUCGCGUUGAUCAGGGAUCAACCUUGCUUUUGCUUGGUGCACUUUCUGGUUAAUGGGUCAGCAUCAAUUUUGACCAUUGGAAAAAGGUCAGGGGAAUGUGGCAUCUUCAGAUGUGUUUAUAGCCCUUGGUUGCAUACAAUGGUUGGGAUUGAGGAACUCAGCACGCCGAAAGGCCGGGUUUUUAACCACGUACGUGCUUAGGAUGCUGGCAUAAUGGCUUUAAUCGACCCGUCUUGAAACACGGACCAAGGAGUCUAACAUGCCUGCGAGUGUUUGGGUGGAAAACCCGAGCGCGCAAUGAAAGUGAAAGUUGAGAUCCCUGUCGUGGGGAGCAUCGACGCCCGGACCAGACCUUUUGUGACGGUUCCGCGGUAGAGCAUGUAUGUUGGGACCCGAAAGAUGGUGAACUAUGCCUGAAUAGGGUGAAGCCAGAGGAAACUCUGGUGGAGGCUCGUAGCGAUUCUGACGUGCAAAUCGAUCGUCAAAUUUGGGUAUAGGGGCGAAAGACUAAUCGAACCAUCUAGUAGCUGGU
rnacentral:rRNA from 2 species